rnacentral:sRNA from 1 species
UAAAGAUUACGAGCUAGCCUCCGGAUGA